AUGGCGGCCUCCGAACAGCCAAUGCCCAUACCGAGAGGAUGCCCAAGCUCCACGUCGCUCUCCCCGCCCCGGGGCGACAGAACCCUUCUAGUGAGGCACUUGCCGGCAGAGCUGACCGCGGAGGAAAAAGAGGACUUGCUGAAAUACUUCGGGGCGCAGUCGGUGCGCGUUCUGUCAGAUAAGGGGCGACUGAAACAUACAGCUUUUGCUACAUUCUCUAAUGAAAAAGCAGCUAUAAAGGCAUUGACAAGACUUCAUCAGCUGAAACUUUUAGGUCAUACUUUAGUAGUUGAAUUUGCAAAAGAGCAAGAUCGCAUUCAUUCUCCAUGUUCCACUUCAAGCACUGAAAAAAAGAAAAGGUCUGAUGACACUGUGGAAGAUGAUAAAGAAAAGAAAGAAUUUGGUUGUUUAACAAUAGAAAAUGGAAUUGCACCAAACCACGGGUUGACUUUUCCUCUGAAUUCAUGCCUCAAGUAUAUGUACCCGCCACCUUCAAGCACAAUCUUAGCAAACAUAGUAAAUGCUUUAGCAAGUGUACCUAAGUUCUAUGUACAGGUACUUCAUCUUAUGAAUAAAAUGAAUUUGCCUACACCUUUUGGACCAAUUACUGCACGACCUCCCAUGUAUGAAGACUAUAUGCCAUUGCAUGCACCUCUCCCACCUACAUCUCCUCGGCCACCUGAGGACCCUCCUUUGCCAAAUGAGGAUGAGGAGUUAUCUAGUAAAGAAUCAGAAUAUGAAAGCAGUGAUGAUGAGGACCGACAGAGAAUGACCAAACUAAUGGAACUAGCAAAUUUUCAGCCCAAAAGACCAAAGAUGGUAAAGCAGCGCCAUGUGAGAAAAAAGCGAAAAAUAAAGGAUAUGUUGAAUACACCCUCAUCUUCUUCACACAGCAAUGUACAUCCUGUGCUGUUACCUUCGGAUGUAUUUGACCAACCACAACCUGUAGGUAAUAAAAGAAUUGAAUUCCACAUAUCCACGGACCUGCCAGCUGCAUUGAAGAAAGAUUUAGAGAAAGAACAGAAUUGUGAAGAAAAAAAUUCUGAAUUACCUGCUACUGAAGUUGAUGCAUCCAGUAUAGGAUUUGGGAAAAUCUUCCCCAAACCUAAUCUGAACAUCACAGAAGAAACUAAAGAAGACUCUGAUGAAAUGCCCUCAGAAUGCAUUUCUAGAAGGGAGUUGGAAAAGGGCAGAAUUUCCAAAGAAGAAAUGGAAACACUUUCAGUUUUCAGAAGUUAUGAACCUGGCGAACCAAACUGUAGAAUAUAUGUAAAGAAUUUAGCUAAACAUGUUCAAGAAAAGGAUCUUAAAUUUAUUUUUGGGCGCUUUGUUGACUUUUCAUCAGAGACACAACGAAUCAUGUUUGAUAUACGCCUGAUGAAAGAAGGUCGCAUGAAAGGACAAGCUUUCAUUGGACUUCCAAAUGAAAAAGCAGCAGCAAAAGCCUUAAAGGAAGCAAAUGGAUAUGUUCUUUUUGGAAAACCCAUGGUGGUUCAGUUUGCUCGAUCUGCUAGACCCAAACAAGAUGCAAAAGAAGGGAAAAGAAAGUGUUAAAUAUUAACAAAGAAGCAUUCCUGCGUAAAUACUGCUGUAAUACUGUCAUGCAAAGUGUAUCCUUUCUUGUUGUAUCCUUUUUGGGGCAGUGUUUUUUGUUUUUUUCUAGAGAUAUUUUUUCACUUUCCUAUCCACUGAUCCAGAUUAAGUAGUCAUUUUUCUAUACUUUUAUUCAAGUGAACUAUUUCUAAAAUUAUUUCUAUAGCUUGAACAGGUUUGUUGUUGAAUUUUCUAUGCUUUCAUUUAUGUUGUGUAGUUUUUCCAAGGAAAGUUAGUGAAUCAGGUCAACUUAGAGAAUGAUGCAUUUGUUUAAACAGAGAAUGUGGUCUUUCUUAUUUAUGUAUUUCCUAAAUCUAAUUCAGUAACAUGUUUUUUUUUAUUUUAUGAUACACCUGGUUUAGGUGUUCUGUAUAAGAUGCUCUCCAAUUUGAAUGGGAAUUUUUUUUAAUGUACAUAUAUUGAAAUACCUGGAUUUCUGUAUAAAUGCCAAAUAAGAGUAGCACACCUCACAUAUGAAGUCUUCAUUUUGAAAUCUUUUUUGACAGAGAUAGCGGUAGAAGUUUCUUCUCCCUGUUUCUUUUCCUAAACAAACAAAAAAUAAUAAUAAUAAGGAAAGAGAAAAAAACAUAAUGUUGACUUAGGGUAGUUCAGUAAGUGAAAAGAAAUGAACCUGGUAGAAAUAUAAGAACAGAGAUUUCCAGACCAGUUGGUGUCCAAAAUCCACUGGAACACAGUGGUUCUCAAAUUUGGCUGCACAUUGGAACACCGUGGGAACGUUAAAAAAAAUUAUAUAUAUAUAUAUAUCACUUUAAAAGGGGGAAAAAAUAACCUUAGAUAUAUAUUGAUAUCUAGUUCCUUCCCUCCCACAGAGUUUAGAUUUAAUUGGUUUGGGGUGUACCAUGGAUGUUGAAAUUUUUCAAGCCUUUCUAAUGUGCAGUCAAGGUGGAAAGCCACCAAAGAAGGGUUUUUAUGCAUAAAGAUUCCUAGACUGUGUGAAACAACACUGAUGAAUUAGAACCUCUAGAGUGAGUUCCAAUAACCAAAUUUGAAAAGGUUUCCUUAGUAAUUUUAAGGACUGUCCUAUUGGGAUACUACUUUAUUAGAGUAAAUGGUUGGCCACCUAUAACUAACUUUGUCAUCAAACCUUUUAUAAAUAGGAAAAUAAAGGGAUAGAAUCUCUGCAUCUCUUUGUGGGAAACUUUGCUAUUAUACAUACUAUGAAAACUACUCAAACUUUUAUUAAGAACCAUUAUAACCCUAAGAGUUCAAAAAGUUCAUAGAUAACUGAAAUUACAAUUUUUUUGAUAUGCACAAUUAAAAUGUUUUGUUUUCUAAUGUUGUAAAUCAGUUUCUGCGAAACAUGUUUAUUUGCAUAAAAUUUUGUUGUACUGACAUGAUUCACUAAUUUUCUAAGUAAAAAUGUUUUAGCUUUUAGUUAUUUUUGAACUAAUAGAUUAUUUUAUAAUCAUGAUUAUUUUUAAUGUGCUUUUCUGAUAUUUUAGGUUCCUUUUGAAUUCCAUAUCUUUCAAGUGAUUUCCAACUUUGAUGAGAAGAAAUUGACCAUCUGGCUAUGGAACUGCAUUGAACGCAGGGGUACUCACUGCUAAGGCACAUCCCCAACCCUAUUUUGUAUUUUAUUUAUAAAGGCAGGGUCUCACUGAGUUUUUCUCAGUACCUCGUUUUUGCUGAGGCCGGCUUUGAACUUGUGAUCCUCUUGCUUCAACCUCCUGAGCUGCUGGGAUUACAGGCAUGUGCUACCACGUCCACUUCAAUAUUUCUUUUUUAAGAAACUAAAAAAGGAAGACUAAACCCCCAGAGCAAGUAGACUGAAAAAAAGAAAAUAAAAUGAAACUUGAAUCAGUAAACUUAAAAAUGAAACAGAAAGAGAAAAUAAAUUGUGCAAAUAAUAGCUAAUUCCAAUAAAUGACCAGAGAAAUUGAAAAAGUUAUUUCUAGGCUACCAAGAAAAGAUGAAUGACAAAUGUUGAGAGUAAAAGGUUAUCAUUGAUGAGGGCUAUCAUUAAAUCCCCAAAUUCUAAGAAGGUACUAAUGGAAUAUUUUGAACAAUUUAUCUCCACAAAUUUGAUGAAAAGAACAAUUUCAUGAAGAACACAAACUGCUGCCUAUUUAAAAAGUAGGUUAUCUGAAUCCUAUGUAUGUUUAAGAAAUUUACUUUAUAUAUAAGUUUUCACAUAAGGAAAACUCAAUCGUUUCCAUAUUGUUUCACUGGUGAAUUCUGCCAAACAAUAAAGGAAGAAAGUACAGUAUGAAUCCAGCAUAUAAGACCAUUCAAGAAAACUACAAAUUACUACUUUUCAUGAAUAUCAAAAAAAUCAUUUUGUCAAGUGGGAUUUAUUUUGGGAAAUACUGACUAUUUGAGCCUUUGAAAAUCAUUAUAAUCAAGUAUAACAAUAAAGAAAAAGCAUAUGAUCAUCCUAAUUAGGGAAGAAGAGAUGAUACUUGACAAGAUUAAAUAUCCACUUAUAGCAAAAACUCAGGAAACCAGGAAUGAAACAGACCCUUAAACUACCAGUGUCUACAGAACCUAUCGUCAUUUUAAUGGCGAAAUAUUGAAUAAUGAAAGUCUUUCUCCUAAAGUGGUAAACAAGGAAAGGAGGUACAAACUCUAGAUUCCUGUUCAGCCUCUCACUGGCAGGAUGGCCAGUGAAAUGAAAAAAGAAGAAAGUAUAAAAAUUAAGAAUGAAAUAAAGUUGUUCUUAGAGAUGGCAUGAUUUGGAUGUAGCAAAUAACUAAAAUUUAGCAAAAUGGCUUCUACAAACAGUAAGUGAGUUAAGGUGUAUGUGAAAAAUUAAUUGUACUAUAUAUUUUCAAUAAACAACCAGAAAUUUAA